rnacentral:sRNA from 1 species
CGUCGGCUCUGAAUUCCGUUCACCGCCGUGUUUUUCGUUCGUUCUGUUUCUUGGUGUUCUUGAAGAGGUAAUUUCUUGGCCUAUUUGCUCUCCUUCAUUUUCAGUGCAAAUGUGCAAUGCUGAUUAGAGUUUGCAGAUGCUGUUUGGUUUAGUUUAGAUGUGGCAUUUUGUUAGUGGUUUCUUUGAUGAAAAAUUCUUGGCUAUGAUAAAGUUUGCUUUCUGAAU